ensembl:lncRNA novel transcript
ACUGAAAUGAUGGCACCAUUCCUGGAGUUAGGCCUUCAACCAAAGAGCUGGGCCAUCCGUGGCAAUGCCUCCCAGGCUUGGGAGCUGGGAAAAGGCCCCAGGAGCUAGGGCAUCCUGAUUGUUCUUUCAAAGAAAUCCCUCUUGUUCUUAGUCAACAUGCUGGAUACCAGCUAAAAAAUGCAAAAUGAUCUUCAGGCAGGGAUGGCACAGGACCCUUGCUGAGCUGUGAAGCCUGGCUGUGAGGAUUCCUGCAUGGAAACAUCAACAUGUUGCCAGAUUGGUAUACGACUCAACACCACACUGACAUGCUGCUCCCAAACAGUGCCUUUGAAUCAAGACCCAGUCAUCGUAUUCGAAGAAAAAGGAAAUAUCCCUGACCAUGUUGGGACUUAACACUGCUUCACAGAGGCCACACAGCAAAUUAAUCCAUAAGAAGAUUUAAGAGGAGACUUCAGGACAGCAGUUUCCCUCCUGUAUUUGCAAUCAAAACAUUUAAGACACCCAGAGCAACUCAGAGGGAUUGAAUUACUGGAACACUCUAUGGCGAAGACAUUUAACAACCUGACAACUUGGUUUUAAAACAUCUUAUGUGUGAUAACCACAAAUGGCUCUGAAUUAGCCCCCAAAAGGGGAAAAGAUUCCUAAGUCUCUCUACUCUGAGCUAAUAGGAUAGCAUAGGAAAACAAAUCUUUAUUAUGAGUUUUUGAAUUUGUCACCAUUGGAGUUUCAGAAUAACAUGUCUGUUGGGAUAUUCAAUCUCCCAUUCUUCUUUCCAGUGGAUUAAAAAUGACAGUACUAAUUAAAGAAGUAAAGAAAAGAGACCACUGUCACUUGCAAUGUAUAGACUUGAAUUAUAAUAAGGCUCAGAUGAGGAGGAGAAAGAAAAGUUGGAGAAGUAUCCUCA